CCAGAUUUUAUUUCAAUAUGUUACGCUUGUGACAUAUAAUAACAAAAUAAACAGAACUGAAAGUGCAGACCGUAAAACAAAGCAUUUUGGCCAAUCUACUCACAUGUGUCAGAGCCUAUACCCGGCUCUUAUUGACCAGUAAUUCACACAUAUUUCCUCCACAAACUGCCAAGUGGUAAGCCAUUUGUAUUAAAUGGAAACAUGAUCGAGUAUAGGACUUUUAUUGAAGGUCAUGCUUCAACACACAACACGUACAAUACAAAUACAGUAAUGGAUACAAAAUACUUUGAAUGAAUAUUUAUUUUAUAUGAUACAUUUAGCACAUAGCAUUAUCCCUGAAUUGUUCAGGCCCUUAUAAAUUAUAUUAAUAAUAAUUAAUAUUAAUUGCAUAAAUGUCUUUAUAAUGAGCAGGCAUUACGGAAGCAACUGUACAGAAUGGACUCUGAUACCUUGCAUCAAACACAAGUAUGUAGAGUCUAUGGACCUGUGAAGGAGCCCUUUGUAGGAUUUUGAGAUGCCCGCAGAUUAUAAUACAAUAUCUGGGACAGGUCAUCCGUUUGCUCCUUAUACAAAGAGUCAGAGGGGUCGUUUUUGGCAUUUUUCAGAAAAAUUUGCAAUCCCCAAAGUGACAGACAAAAAACACAUCUAUAUCUACUUUCGUCUAAAGGCGUAUAAGCCACCAGGACAAAUGGAUUGAAUAAGAUGUGGGAUUUUAUCCAUUAAUUAACUGCAUUUUGUUAACCAUUUUUAUUUUUACUAUAAGUCUUCUGAAAACAGGAACAUUUAACCUGAACAUUAAAUACAUAAAUUAAAUCUUUUAGGGCUUGUCCCCAAAAAGGGCAUAUAGAAUUGACAUUUCACAGCGAGACAAUGGAAAAAGAAUGGUAAAAAUAAAUUAAUAAUCUACAAGGAAUGAGGGGGGGAUAAAUGCUUUUUUUCCACAUAGUACUUUAGAACUUUACCAUUGCCAGUUAUAGUGACCUACUCUCUAUUCAUAUCCGUCAAUCACUUUAUACGCGCCCACUAGGAUCUCUGGGAAGCCAGUUGUCGUGAUCAGUGGAUUAUCCCACUAUUUAAACAUCUUAUAGUUUGUCCACCUGAGUGAGAGGAGAGGAGGAACACAUCUGCAGCAUCUCCAGGUCACCAAGUAGUUCUUUUUCAAAUGGCAGUAGGAUUGCCAGUCCCAGAAUGGAGACAGGGACAUAAAUCAAACAUUACAUAUCCUAUCAACCCCAGCCGGCAAGUGUAGAAUUCUAGAACAUGACAUGCAGGAAUGCCAGCAGCUUCGUAGGUAGAUUUUACAAUAAUAUUCAUUGCAAAUGCACGCAUGAAAAAUAACCAGAUUCUGAAAUUAAAUUAAAAUAAGAAAUAAGCCAAGUGCUUACACAUUAGAAACGUUAUUCACUAAAUUUGGAAUUCUUGCAAAUUAAAUCCAAAUGGGAAAAGCGGAUGCAAAAAUAGCCACUUUGGAACUCUGGCUGAGCUGGAGAUUUUUUUCCUGUUAAUUCUCAAAAAAAAUUGAGUAGUGAAGAACCCUGAAAAUGUGAAGUUUAGGUGGCUAUUGAAUAAGAAUUUGCAUUGGACUAAACCAGUAAAAAUAACUGUAUUUACAGGCCAGUAACACUCGAAGACCCACGGAUAAACCCAGAAUUCUCAGAUGCCCACAGAUAGUGGUGAAUCUGAUGACAAUUUAAACAAUAUUAUUUUGGAAGGUAUUGCCCCUGUUCUCAGUAUUUCAGGUGUAACGAUCUAGAACCCUAACAUGUACCUUGCAUCCCCUGUGCACUUUCUGUACAUUCUUAUUAUAUUUGCUCAGUAGGACUUUCUAAAACAGUAUAUAAUAAUAAUCAUAAUGAUUAUUAUUAUUAUUCUUGACAUAUUUUUACCAAAUUCAUCACAGUUCAGAAAUGGCACAUGUCCCCAUCUCUUGGGGUUUAAUCCUUUGAAAAUGGCUGGAGGGCCUUUGACAUCAGGACAGUGUUAGUAAAAAAAUACAAGGCACUAUGUACUAUAUACAGACCACAAAGAACUGCUGAACUAGCACUUAGGAGAGUGCACACAAAAUAACUUAAGAAAACGUCUCCAAAUUUUAGCAGCAAAAUGUAACCAACUCAGUAAAGGGUGAAUUGUCAUCUCUGUGUGAAAUAUCAGACAAAACCAUAGAACCUGCUUCUCUUCUGCACAUUCAAUAAUGAUUGGUGCUUGUUCUGAUGUUAAGCUAAAGUAUUCAUCCACAUAGCACAGUUUAGUUAUAGGGGCUCACUAGUGCAGCCCAAAUUUAUUCAAAGAGCAUCCACAGUACAGACGUUAUGGGACCCCUAGUAGGCCUCUAUAACUAAGCUGCGCUUUGUGGGUGAAUACUUGGGAUUACUAUAGCUUGCUUGCUGUGGGGGCUACAGCAGAUUACACACAAUAGCUGCACUGGGUUCAACUACUUUGUCUUUUAGUACUGGAUUAUACCAGACUCCUAGAUCAUAUUAUCUUUUGUUCUGAUGUUAUUAUAACUUUAUUUCCAGUAAAGUAAGAAAAACUCAGACAGUGAAACUUUUUAACUUCAAGUCACCUACUUUGUCUUAUAUUUUGUGACUUAUCAACUCAUUUCAGCUCACUGUUUAGUGAAUAAUUCCCUAGACUGAACACUCCAUAAAGUUCAGCUAAGCCGUCAAACUCCAAGCAUUGAUUGGUAGACACAAUAUUUAUCCUACAGAGAGGAGCUUUUGACAGCUAACUUGGUUAAGAUGAAAUACAAACAAUACUUUUUGUGAGCUGGAUGAGUUUCUAUAGCUGGUGUGUUCUGGCCGUUCUCAUGUAAAAUUCACUAGGUAAGUACCCAGACAAACACUGCUCAUUUUAUUUGUUAUUUUUACUACACUUGGCCCGCACAGCACCAUAGUAUAAGAAGCUCUUAGCAGGGCUGUAUCCACCUCUUGUUUCUUACGUUACCUGAACUUGUUCCUCAUUUAUUCGUUGAUUUUAUAACUCCUACGUGGAGUUCUGUGGAAUAUAUCAGAGCAAUACAAAUCAUAAUCAAUGUGGUGAAGCCAGCAAUGUUCUUUGAAGUUCUCGCAUUAGAUACAAGAUUCCAUCUUACAUGUCAUACCUGAUACUAUGAAAUAUGGAUUUAAUGAUAAGUUCCAAAUCCCAUCCACUGCAGAAUGUCGUGUUCUAAAUUAUUUCAAGUUAAUGUCUUUGGACAGCAUGGUUUGUUGCCCCAUUGGCUCUAGAGAAUGUCACAUUAUUUAUACUUGGUCAUGGCAUUGAAUGGCCCAACAUAUCAAGCCAGAAAAGGAGCCUUUGGGCACACGCUUUUCGCACUGCAGCUAUGUCCGCGCUAUGAUAUGUUGGCCUAUUAAGAUGUUUCAGUGGCUGGAAAACACAUUGUUCUGUUGUGUGAGAAACCAAAAGAGUCACGUCAUUGCUGCACAGAUUUCUCUCUCUUUGAAGGCUUCAUGAAUCAGUAGGGAAAAGGGACGUUUUAAUCAUGGAGUUUAUUCUUUAAAAAACCAAAUGUAACCUUAAAGGGACAUAAUGUAUUGAUCCUGGUGUCUAUAGCUUGUCCCUGCAGUCUUUUCAAUGUAUACGAAAAGGCAGUGUUUACAUUGGUGCAUAGCAACACCUCUAGUGACAAUCACUCGGACGGCCACUAGAGUUGCUUCCUAGCUUAGUGCUGCACAUACGCUCAGUGUCUCCACGCACUGCAUGGAGACGCAGAAUGUUUCCCACAGCGAUGCAUUAAUUCAAUGCAUUUCUAUGAGGAGGUGCUGAUUGGCGCAGUGUACCAAGUUUGAUGAUCUCAGCCAUGGAGGCGAGAUUGGCACGGCAUGGAAGAAAAGUUUGGUAAAAUCACCCUUUUACUGGGAUUGGGGGUUGGGGAGAUGGUUACCUUAACAGCCACUUCAGGAAUAGAGUGUCAGGAAUACAAAUUUGUAUUCUUGACAUUAUAGUAUUCCUUUAAGAAUAUGCUCAGGUUAAUCCUCCACCUGAAAUUCAGAGACUACAAUCCUGUCGCACAUAAAGGAAAAUCCUUUUAGAAAGGACUACAGAGAAAAUCCCCUUAAAUCUAAUUAGAGUUUAGUCAUUAGAGAUUCAAACACCAGCCACAGAAAGGCAGUAUGAGUAUGUACGUGCUUUAAUAGUGCCCUGUUCAUCUAUGUUCCUGGCAUUGCAGGAGUUAAUGUAAUUUACAUGCCAUGCCUUAUAUAUGCCAUGUAAAUAC